UGAUAGUUUAUGUUGUAUCGAGGAUCCACAAGUAGAGGAGCCAAAUAUUUGUAAAUUAUGUGCAUCCCACACUGGAAGUCAGAAACAAAAGAAAGGUGCAUGUGAUUCUCAUGAUUACCAUCACCAUUACUGCUGGAGGCGAGAAGUUGCAAAGCGAUAUAGCGAUAAAAAUGUACGAUACAGGGGACGCUGCAAAAAAUGCCACAAACAUAGAAACAAUCAGAUCCGAAUUCCUCGACCGUUCAUAACGUUUACAAAGUACCUCUCCGUGGGAAGAAUCU